rnacentral:rRNA from 1 species
CCAGCGAAUUCGGUAGAGAUACCUUAGUGCCUUCGGGAACGCUGAGACAGGUGCUGCAUGGCUGUCGUCAGCUCGUGUUGUGAAAUGUUGGGUUAAGUCCCGCAACGAGCGCAACCCUUAUCCUUUGUUGCCAGCGGUCCGGCCGGGAACUCAAAGGAGACUGCCAGUGAUAAACUGGAGGAAGGUGGGGAUGACGUCAAGUCAUCAUGGCCCUUACGAGUAGGGCUACACACGUGCUACAAUGGCGCAUACAAAGAGAAGCGACCUCGCGAGAGCAAGCGGACCUCAUAAAGUGCGUCGUAGUCCGGAUUGGAGUCUGCAACUCGACUCCAUGAAGUCGGAAUCGCUAGUAAUCGUAGAUCAGAAUGCUACGGUGAAUACGUUCCCGGGCCUUGUACACACCGCCCGUCACACCAUGGGAGUGGGUUGCAAAAGAAGUAGGCAGCUUAACCUUCGGGAGGGCGCUUACCACUUUGUGAUUCAUGACUGGGGUGAAGUCGUAACAAGGUAAGCGUAGCGAG